rnacentral:rRNA from 1 species
AUUGAACGCUGGCGGCAGGCCUAACACAUGCAAGUCGAGCGGAUGAAGAGAGCUUGCUCUCUGAUUUAGCGGCGGACGGGUGAGUAAUGCCUAGGAAUCUGCCUGGUAGUGAGGGAUAACGUUCCGAAAGGAACGCUAAUACCGCGUACGUCCUACGGGAGAAAGCAGGGGACCUUCGGGCCUUGCGCUAUCAGAUGAGCCUAGGUCGGAUUAGCUAGUUGGUGAGGUAAUGGCUCACCAAGGCGACGAUCCGUAACUGGUCUGAGAGGAUGAUCAGUCACACUGGAACUGAGACACGGUCCAGACUCCUACUGGAGGCAGCAGUGGGGAAUAUUGGACAAUGGGCGAAAGCCUGAUCCAGCCAUGCCGCGUGUGUGAAGAAGGUCUUCGGAUUGUAAAGCACUUUAAGUUGGGAGGAAGGGCAGUAAGUUAAUACCUUGCUGUUUUGACGUUACCGACAGAAUAAGCACCGGCUAACUCUGUGCCAGCCGCCGCCGUAAUAC